rnacentral:lncRNA from 12 species
GUCCAGCUCUCCCCACCCCAGCUCACGCUCCAAGGGAGUCAACCGUAGAAUACUGUACCUAUAGUUAUCAAAAUUGUAUUGUGCACUUGGACCUUUGUUAAGAUGAUAGAUACCAUGUUGUGUUCUUACUAUAAUAAUUUUUUUUAAAGGGAGUCAGUCAGUCAAGCUGCUUUGGUUGCCUUAUUUCUGAGCUUGUGGGAAGAGAAGAGCAGGAAAAGAAACUGAGGACCAGAGGGACAGUGACCUGCCUGAAGUGGGUGACCCUGGAGGAGUCCUCCUGAUGAUAUGAGCAUGCUGGAUUGCUUCGAGAGUCUUAAUCCCAGGAGAUUUAUGACUGCGACUUCACUAUGAAAACAACACCAUUUUCCUUGACCUGUCGGGAAGCAUCAAUUAGAAGAAGAAUGUGAGGUUUACUUUUGACGAAGUGUGUGGGUCAUGAUAGAGCCUCUAUUACAGAUGGGGUGAUUUGUGGCUAAAAUAUAAAGGCCAUGUGCUAAAAAGAAAAAGAAUAAAGAAAGCACAACAGAAUUCCA